rnacentral:rRNA from 1 species
UCAGGCCUAACACAUGCAAGUCGAACGAAGUAGCAAUACUUAGUGGCAGACGGGUGAGUAACAUGUAGGUAUCUGCCCUUUGGCCUGGAAUAACACGAGGAAACUUGUGCUAAUACCGGAUAAGUCUUUACGGAGAAAGCUUUAUGCACCAUUGGAUGAGCCUGCAUUUGAUUAGUUUGUUGGUAGGGUAAUGGCCUACCAAGACUGUGAUCAAUAGCUGAUUUGAGAGGAUGAUCAGCCACACUGGGACUGAGACACGGCCCAGACUCCUACGGGAGGCAGCAGUGGGGAAUAUUGGACAAUGGGGGCAACCCUGAUCCAGCAAUGCCGCGUGUGUGAUGAAGGCCCUAGGGUUGUAAAGCACUUUCACUGGUGAAGAUGAUGACGGUAGCCAGAGAAGAAGCCCCGGCUAACUUCGUGCCAGCAGCCGCGGUAAUACGAAGGGGGCGAGCGUUGUUCGGAAUUACUGGGCGUAAAGGGCGCGUAGGCGGUCUUUUAAGUUAGGCGUGAAAGCCCCGGGCUCAACCUGGGAACUGCGCUUAAUACUGAGAGACUAGAAAACGGAAGAGGGUAGUGGAAUUCCCAGUGUAGAGGUGAAAUUCGUAGAUAUUGGGAAGAACACCAGUGGCGAAAGCGGCUACCUGGUCCGAUUUUGACGCUGAGGCGCGAAAGCGUGGGGAGCAAACAGGAUUAGAUACCC